ensembl:lncRNA
ACCUGGGCACCUGUUAGAAAUGCGGAAACCCAAGGCCCAGCCCAGACCCAUCAAACCAGAAUCUGCCUUGUGCCCCCCGGUACGUAGUUGUGUAUUCUUCGUUGUGGGUUCUUCUAGUUGUGGCACGUGGGACGCUGCCUCAGCGUGGUCCGACGAGCAGUGCCAUGUCCGCGCCCAGAAUUCGAACCAACGAAACACUGGGCCGCCUGCAGCGGAGCGCGCGAACCCAACCACUCGGCCACGGGGCCAGCCCCCCGACUCCCUGAGCUUCACAACCAAACAGAAGUUACAAGUCAUUAAAACCCAGACAACUCGCGCUGGACUCCCGCUAAAGUUGUGGCUAUCACAGGACGUUGAAGUUCUUUUACAGAGACACUAAUGUCCAGAGAAUAUCAAGAAACUGAAGCUGCCCAGGACAAACUCCUCAGCCUCCUGACAUCACAGUCUACCUUCCACCGUGGAGAUAAACAACCAAGGACAUUCAUCUGAGAAAUCCUUUGUCUCUUGCACUGGAAGCAGCCUCAGACACAGGCGGUGUGACUGGAAGGAAGGUAAGGAACAAAUGAAGCAAGUGUCUGGAGAAGACGGUUUCAGAUACAGAAAGCAGCAGACGCAAAUCUCUGAGCAGGACCUUGUUCAUGGAUGCCAGAACAUGCUGGAGUCUCUAGUAGCUGGAGAAGAGCCUGUGGGUUGCCUCUUCACUCUGUUGAUUAUUUCCUUUGCUGCGCAGAAGCUUUUUCCUUUGAGGCCCACUGACCUGGGAUAUUCUAAAAUUUGAUGAGGCCCCAGUGGAUGGUUGUACAUCUCAGUUCUAAGUCCUUCUGAUUCUUCUAUAUGAACCACCACCACAGCAUGGCAACUGACAUACGGGCGGGGUGAUUCUGCGACCCGGAAGCAAACCCGAGCUGCUGAGGCAGAGAGCGCUAGAUGUUAACGAUUAGACCACCAGGACUGGCCCUAGAUUUAUUUUUAUUAUCUAAUUUAGUGGUGCGUAUUUGUUGUGCUUUUUUCCCUUCAUCUAUUUGAUCAGUUAUUUUUCUUGAUUUUGUAUUCUUUAGCUCUGCUGGUUUGGAAUCCCAUACAUUCUGUUUCUCCAAAAUACACUUUCGCUUUCUCUCCAUAUCCCUCCAAUUUAUACAUUAUAUUGAUCUUAAUUACAGUUUUAUAAUUUUUUAUUUUUAAUAUUAGAAAAUUAAUUUUUAUAUUACCCACAUAUAUACAAAUUUACUUCUUCACCACAGAGUCUUGCAUUUUAUUCUUUUUUCCCUCUGGAUUUUAGUUCCAUCUUCAUGAAGAACAUAUUAAAAUAUUUUUUUCAAGAAUAAUUGUGAACAGUAAACUCUCUGUUGUCCCAUGUGUGUUGCACUCGUUACUUCUGUUGCUUAACUGAGUCUUUCUUUUCUUCCUCAGCUUCUCUUCUCUGAUUCUUGUUAGACAUGCAGCCAGGGCUUCACACCCUCAUCUCCUGGUCUCUUAAACAAUCUUCCAUGUUUUCUGCACCCCUGUGCUGUAUUCAUUCAGCGCACUUCUCAGUCAUGGCAGCUUGUGUUUUCAUAGAAUUUUAAUAACGCAUUUAAUUUUUGCACACAUUUGGUGGGCUUGCUUUUCUGUGAAAACUUCUUCAACUAUGACCCUCUGGAGAAUCAUUAGUCAAGAACAAAUUUUACUUUAAACAUUUGAUUAUGGGGAGAGAAGCAGAUGUUCUUAUGUAGUGUGAACAAUGGAAAUCCAAACCCCAAACGCCAUGAAGUCCCUUGUUUUUCAAUGAUCUGGAGACCCAGCGCCUAGGGAGCGAGAAGAUAGAUGAUGGAAGAUAGAUAGAAGAUAGAUCCCUGUGCUAGUAGAGAGUUUCUUGUUUUUGUUUUUCUAGUUUAGCCUGUCAUAACUUGAGAUUAUUCAACUGCAAUUCAUUGUUUUAUAUAUGAGUCAAUAAUUUCUUAACUUUGACAGUUUUUUAAACUUGUUUUUACUAUUUUUAAAAAUGUUAUUAUUAAUGUGAUCUCCCACAUUGCUGGAACUGAAGAUUAUCCUGGUCAAUUUCUCAUAUAAUUACUGCUAAAUCAAUAUUAAUAUACUCUUAAAGUUAAUAAAAAUUAUUAGAACUUCAUCUUAUUCUACAUACAUUCAUACCAAUAUAAGACUAUACUUUAAAAUACUUUGGGAAUUGAAAAUAUUAUAAAGUUAAUCUGUAUAAUUAACUCAUAAGAAAGUUUCCUUGUUAUCUGAGAGAUUAAGCUAUGGUCUGUUUUUUUUAUUAUGAGAAUUUACUGAGUGUUUAUUCUUUGUAGAAAUGUAUUCUCAUUGAGCUUGCAGCACUAACUUUUUCAAAGUGCUAUGGAUUUUAUUUUAUGGAGGAAUAAAAUUUCUUGAAUUAACUUCAGGUUAUAA